GCCUGGGUGGCGCAGUGAGUUAAGUGUCUGACUUUGGCUCAGGUCAUGAUCUUGAUGCUCGUGGGUUCGAGCCCCGCUUCGGGCU
rnacentral:tRNA from 1 species